rnacentral:rRNA from 1 species
UACGUAGGGUCCGAGCGUUGUCCGGAAUUAUUGGGCGUAAAGAGCUCGUAGGCGGUUUGUCGCGUCUGCCGUGAAAGUCCGGGGCUCAACUCCGGAUCUGCGGUGGGUACGGGCAGACUAGAGUGAUGUAGGGGAGACUGGAAUUCCUGGUGUAGCGGUGAAAUGCGCAGAUAUCAGGAGGAACACCGAUGGCGAAGGCAGGUCUCUGGGCAUUAACUGACGCUGAGGAGCGAAAGCGUGGGGAGCGAACAGG